rnacentral:lncRNA from 10 species
CCCUGCCCAGAGAGGAGGAAUCUAGAGAGGCAGUCUGGCUACCGCGGCUUUGCCGAGCUGCAGUGGGCUCUGCCCAGUUCGAACUUCCUGGCGGCUUUGUUUACACUGUGAGGGGAAAACCACCUACUCAAGUCUCAGUAAUGGUGGAUGCCCCUGCCCGCACCAAGCUCAAGUGUCCCAGGUCGACUUCAGACUGCUGGGCUGGCAGCAAGAAUUUCAAGCCAGUGGAUCUUAGCUUGCUGGGCUCCAUGGGGUGGGAUCUGCUGAGCUAGACAACUUGGCUCUCUGGCUUCAGCCCCCUUUCCAGGGUAGUGAAUGGUUCUGUCUCACUGGCAUUCCAAACACCACUGAGGUACGAAAAAAAACUCCUGCAGCUAGCUCGGUGUCUGCCCAAAUUGGCUGCCCAGUUUUGUGCUUGAAACCCAGGGCCCUGAUGGCGUAGGCACCCGAGGUAAUCUCCUGGUCUGCGGGUUGCAAAGACUGUGGGAAAAGCAUAGUGUCUUUUUCAAAUGGCUUUGGAAAAAAGUAUUUACAUGUAUAUAAAUGAUUACAUGUAUAUAAAAUGUACAUAUAUGUGACAUAUAUACAUGUAUAUAUGUCACAUAUAUGUACAUUUUAUAUACAUGUAAUCAUUUAUAUACAUGUAAAUAUUUUUUUCCAAAGCCAUUUGAGAGUUUCAGACAUCAUGCUCUUUAGCCUCCAUAUCCUACAUUGUGUGUUUCCUAAAAGCAAGGAUAUUCUCUUAUAUAAAUGCCAUAUAAUGAUCAAAUUCAGAAAAUAUAAGAUUAGCUAACACUAUUUCAUAAGAUAUAGUCCAUUUUUCAGAUUACGCUAAUUGUUCCAAUAAUGUCCUUUAUAUAAAUUUCCCUCUCUGACCCAGGAUCUAAUCCCAGAUUACACAUUGCAUUUUGUUGUUAUGUCUUCUUUCCCCACUCAAGUUAGCCAGAGUUUAUUUCUAUUGCUCAUAACCAAAGAAUCUUAAAAAUACAAUUUCCUUUUGUUUAUGAUACGGGAGUGCUGGGAAGGGAACAGUGUGGUCACUUUAAAUGAUACAGACGCAGGGAAGGGAAGUGCUGAGUAGAGGAGGGCAUGGUCCCUGGCUAGGGCUCCACCCCCACGGACCUAGGUGAGGACAGGCACUCCUGCUUUCGCUCCCAAAUGUUGCAUUUUCCAAGACCACCCUGUCCCGUCAUGCCCUCAUCCUGGGCCUAUAAAAACCAGAGACCCUAGCGGGCACACAGGCAGCCAGAUAUUGAGAGGAACACUUUGGCGGAAGAAGACACGAGUGGCUGGUCGAGAGCACGCUGGAGGAAGAGCCCACCGACAGACGUCAGCAUGCUGGCACACCAUCAACAGGCCUGGCAGAUAUUCGUAAACCACAAUCCUUGCAUCAGGAAUCCUACAGGCUAGUGUGAAGUGAGACAGAUAAACAGAUAAUGUUAUUUGUUUGGCAGUAACACCUAACCACAACGGUAUGUACAAGGUAUAGUGGAACACAGUCAAUGAACUGAUUUCAAGAAUGAUGAGAAAUACGGGCAGGGCUUCAACAGGAAUAGAAGGAAAUAAUAUCUGUUUUAUUCCUUGAUGCAAACUGGGUGUUUAUAGAUUGUAUGUCUACUGUCCAAAGCAUGAUUAAAAUCAAUGCUAAUCCACUAACCUCCAACGUAUGCUCAGGAAGUUCCUCGUUUAGCUGGCUAACAUUGUUAACUUUGACAUCUACUAAUGCAACAUUACCUCCUGAAUGUUAGGGACUCAAAGAGUUCCUAUACCAUUUCAAUUCUUAGGUGGCUAUUUUGAUUAAUGUUGACAUUAUCUAGUUCUGACAUUUAGCUGAAACAUAUUGCUAAGAUCCUAAUCUGUAAACUUGCUUAAAAUAUGUCCUGUUUAGUUUGAUAGUUUUAAAAUAUUGACAUUAUAAAAGGAGUUCUGAAGGUAAAGGGUCUGAUCCCUUCAAGAAAUCUAGAGUCCUUUCCUUUCUCUUUGUGUAAAAAAUCAAAUGAAAAGUAUUAGGAGUAGGGAAAACCGGAGUUACAAAAUGAGAGCAAAUAGCAUCUCCCAUUUUGUGGCUUUAGAUCCAAACCUGGUGACAAAGAGAACAUACGUAAAGGUCAGGAGCUUAGAUGGCAUCCAGGGAGCUGAAGCUUGGAACGGUUAUGAGUAGUCUCAGAGUAAUAGGAAGGUGUUAGUCCAUCAAUGGGCCCCUGUGCUCUGUCAGAAGUCUUAGAAUUUUCUGGGGACCCUUAAAGGGACCUGAGCAGUCUAGGAAGAAGAGGAAGAUCUGGAUAAGUAUUCAUUGAUAAUUAUCUGUUACUGAUAAGAAUAUUUCAUUUGUAUUUAGUAGACAGGUCUUCUUUUAGUACUUAGCUCUCAUGGUAAGUUAUUCAUAAGUAACAUGCCUGGCAACAGUUGGUGCUCAAGUAACAUUGAAUUGGAUUAAGCUAAAAGUGGCUGAUAAGGCUAUCCACACAGAUUUAUCUUAGUGUGGCAGGGGCCAGGCACUCAACCACCAAAGGCAAGGUGGGAGUGGUCACCACAAUAAACAGCAGAAUCAAAGCAACCAGCUGAAUAGUCUGACUCCUGCAGAACUACAGCAUUGCUAGUUGAUCAUGGUGUUCCUGGAAGUGAAAUAUUUGGUUAGUACAAGGGUAAUUUCAAUUACAAUAGAAAGUAAUGGCAAAAAACUGGAAUUACAUUUGCACCAACUUAAUAGAUAGGAAGCCUACCGAAUUUUUACUUGAUCUAUAUAAGUUGAAAAGUUCCAGGUCAAGUGAAAAAAAAGUCUAAUCUGAAUCCUAAAAACAGAGAAUUAUGGCCCUUAAACAAUUCCCAGACUUGAGCCUGUUUAUAGACCUAGAAUGAAAGGAAGACCAGGUCCCCUGGAGGAAAGACCCCAUAUACUACUGAAUAUUUAUACUGUUAAUCUUUCCCCUGGCCUUCCCCAAAGGGACCUACAGCCUUUUAUGGAGUAACUCCGCAUUGGGGAAGGGAAAUAAUCAGACCUUUCAGGGACUACUAGACACUGGUUCUGAACUGACACUAAUUCCGGGAGACCCAAAAUAUCACUGUGAUUCACAGUCAAUGUGUGGAAGUCAGGUGAUUAAUGGAAUUUUAGCCUAGGUCUAUCUUACAGUGGUCCUGUACCUUCACAGUGUGAAAAUACAUAGUGGACCAGUGGGUCCGUGAACCCGUCUUGUGGUUAUUUCCCCAAUUCUAGAAGGCAUAAUUGGAAUAGACAUAUCUAGUAGCUGACAGAAGCCCCCACAUUAGUUCCCUAACCUGUGGAGUGAGGGCUAUCAUGGUGGGACAGACCAAAUGAAAGCUGUUAGGGCUGCUUCUACCUAGGAAAAUAGUAAACCAAAAGCAAUACUGCAUUCCUGGAGGAAUGGCAGAGAUUAGCGCCACCAUCAAAGACUUGCAAGAUACGGGGGUGAUGAUUCCCACCACAUUCUCAUUCAACUCUCCUAUUUGGCCUGUGCAGAAGACAGAUGGAUCUUGGAAAAUGAUAGUGGAUUAUUGUAAGUUUAACCAGGUGAUGAUUCCAAUUGUAGUAGCUUUACCAGAUGUGGUUUCAUUUUUUACACAAAUUAACACAUCCCCUAGUACCUGGCAGACAGCUAAUGAAUUUGGCAGCUGCUUUUUCUCCAUUUCUGUUAAUAAAGAUUUCUAGAAGCAGUUUUCUUUCAGCUGGCAAGGCCAGUAAUACACCUUCACUCUCCUACCUUAGGAGUGCAUGAACUCUCCAACUCUGUGACAUACUUUUUUUUUUUUUUUUUUGAGAUGGAGUCUGUGUCGCCCAGGCUGGAGUGCAAUGGCAUGAUCUCGGCUCACUGCAACCUCCAUCUCCCAGGUUCAAGUGAUUCUUCUGCCUCAGCCUCCAGAGUAGUUGGGAUUACAGGUGCCUGCCACCAUGCCUGGCUAAUUUUUUUAUUUUUAAGUAGAGACGGGGUUUCGCCAUGUUGGCCAGGCUGGUCUUGAACUCCUGACCUCAAGUGAUUCACCCGCCUUGGCCUCCCAAAUUGUUGGGAUUACAGGCAUGAGCCACCACGCCUGGCCUGUGACAUACUUUAGUUUGCAGGAAUCUUGUUCAUCUUUCCCUUUCUCAAGAUAUCACACUGGCCCAUCACAUUCCUGACACUAUGCUAAUUAGUCUUAGUAAGCAAGAAGUAGCAACUACUCUAGACUUGUUCGUAAGACAUUUGUGUGUCAGAGAGUGGGAAAUAAAUUUGACAAAAAUUCAAGAGCCUUGGUGAAAUUUCUAGGGGAUCAAUGGUAUGGGACAGGUCAUAUCACUCUAAGGUGAAUAAUAAGUGUUGCAUCUGGCCCCUUCAACAACCGAAAAAGACAUACAAUGCCUAGUGGGCCUCUUUGUAUUUUGGAAGUGAUAUAUUCCUUAUUUGGGUGUCUGGCUCACUUACCCAGUGACCCAAAAAGCUGCUAAUUCUGAGCAGGGCCCAGAACAAGAGAAGGCUCUUCAACAGGUCCAGGCUGCUGUGUAAGCUAUGCGAUUUGAGCCAUAUGACCAACCAGAUACAAUGGUGCUUGAAGUGUCAGUGGCAGAGAGGGAGGCUGUUUGGAACCUUUGGCAGGCCCCUAUAGGUGAAUUGCAGUGGAGGACCUUCAGAUUUUGGAACAAAGCCAUGCUAUCCUCUUUGAAUAACCUCCUCCUCCUCCUCCUCCUCCUCG